rnacentral:rRNA from 1 species
GGAUCGGGAGUACACUCUACUCUGUGAUUAUACCUUUAUUGUUGCUUCGGCGGGACUUCGCGCCCGCCGGGACCCAAACCUUCUGAAUUUUAAUAAGUAUCUUCUGAGUGGUUAAAAAUGAAUCAAAACUUUCAACAACGGAUCUCUUGGUUCUGGCAUCGAUGAAGAACGCAGCGAAAUGCGAUAAGUAAUGUGAAUUGCAGAAUUCAGUGAAUCAUCGAAUCUUUGAACGCACAUUGCGCCCGUCAGUAUUCUGGCGGGCAUGCCUGUUCGAGCGUCAUUACGCCCCUCAAGUCCCCUGUGGACUUGGUGUUGGGGAUCGGCGAGGCUGGUUUUCCAGCGCAGCCGUCCCUCAAAUCAAUUGGCGGUCUCGCCGUGGCCCUCCUCUGCGCAGUAGUAAAACACUCGCAACAGGAGCCCGGCGCGGUCCACUGCCGUAAAACCCCAACUUUUUAUAGUUGACCUCGAAUCAGGUAGGACUACCCGCUGACUUAAGCAUAUCAGAGGGGGAAAAACGGUAUACGUGUGGGGGAGAAGGAUGCGCCCUGAAAACAGCUUCGAAAUCCGAAACCAGCUCAUGUGUUGCUGUGGAUGCCCAACAGAAUGAACAAGAAUAUAUCAUAUAACGUGGAUUUGGGGAUGUAUAAUAGAAACUCGG